AUAUCCAGAGGGAUAAAUUCGUCAUUCUUUUGAACACACCAGCUCCUCUUCUCCAAGCAGCCACCGCUGCUCCUCUUCUCCUUUCAUUCUCCAACCGGGGUUGCUUCCUCUCAAGCUCAUUAGUCAGUUGUUCCUACAUUUAUUCACCGAAUCACCGAUGCAAAAAUGAUUUUUGGAAAAAGGCCAGAGAAUGCUGACAAUGCAGUUGGAACAUGAAUAUUGGAACUCCUCUGCCACCUGGAAAAAGGUAUGAAAUUGCUCUUGCAGGGAGUUUUUAAAAAUAAAAAAUUCGAAGAAAAGAUUUGAUAAAUGCUACUGAUGAUCAGAUAAACUUUGCAAAUGUGAGGAAUAAAGAAGAUGAUAUGUUACUAUUAGAAUGUGAAUAUGAUAAGGCAAGUUUUGAAAGAAUCUUCAUUUUACAAGAUUAGAUGGGAUAUCCAUAUUUCCUUCCUUCUGAUCUGUUAUUUGGAAUUCAAAGCAAUAUGUUGUAGUUUCGAUUUUUUUUUUUUUGGCUGGUUCAAUGAUUCAGCUCUAUUGUUCUUGUUAUUUGAAAACUCAACUGCUUUUAGGAUUUGUAGUAGAAAUUACCUGAAAUUUUGGUGUCCA